GAUGAACGCUGGCGGCGUGCCUAAUACAUGCAAGUCGAGCGAACAGACGAGGAGCUUGCUCCUCUGACGUUAGCGGCGGACGGGUGAGUAACACGUGGAUAACCUACCUAUAAGACUGGGAUAACUUCGGGAAACCGGAGCUAAUACCGGAUAAUAUAUUGAACCGCAUGGUUCAAUAGUGAAAGACGGUUUUGCUGUCACUUAUAGAUGGAUCCGCGCUGCAUUAGCUAGUUGGUAAGGUAACGGCUUACCAAGGCAACGAUGCGUAGCCGACCUGAGAGGGUGAUCGGCCACACUGGAAGUGAGACACGGUCCAGAGUCCUACGGGAGGCAGCAGUAGGGAAUCUGCCGCAAUGGGCGAAAGCUUGACAGAGCAACGCCGCGUGAGUGAUGAAGGUCUUCGGAUCGUAAAACUCUGUUAUUAGGGAAGAACAAAUGUGUAAGUAACUAUGCACGUCUUGACGGUACCUAAUCAGAAAGCCACGGCUAACUACGUG
rnacentral:rRNA from 1 species